UACAAGGUUUCCGUAGGUGAACCUGCGGAAGGAUCAUUA
rnacentral:rRNA from 7 species